rnacentral:rRNA from 1 species
AAAGGAAUAGACGGGGGCCCGCACAAGCGGAGGAACAUGUGGUUUAAUUCGAUGAUACGCGAGGAACCUUACCCGGGCUUGAACUGUAGGAGACGGUCGACAGAGAUGCCUUCUUUCCUUCGGGACUCCUAUGGAGGUGCUGCAUGGUUGUCGUCAGCUCGUGCCGUGAGGUGUCGGCUUAAGUGCCAUAACGAGCGCAACCCCUUUCUUCAGUUGCCAUCAGGUGAUGCUGGGCACUCUGUAGAUACUGCCGCCGCAAGGUGUGAGGAAGGUGGGGAUGACGUCAAAUCAGCACGGCCCUUACGUCCGGGGCUACACACGUGUUACAAUGGGGAGUACAGUGCGUUGGAUGUGUGCAAACACGUUCUAAUCCUUAAAUCUCUCCUCAGUUCGGACUGGGGUCUGCAACCCGACCCCACGAAGCUGGAUUCGCUAGUAAUCGCGCAUCAGCCAUGGCGCGGUGAAUACGUUCCCGGGCCUUGUACACACCGCCCGU